AGAGUUUGAUCCUGGCUCAGGACGAACGCUGGCGGCGUGCUUAACACAUGCAAGUCGAGCGGAAAGGCCCUUCGGGGUACUCGAGCGGCGAACGGGUGAGUAACACGUGAGCAACCUGCCCUCAGCUCUGGGAUAGCUCCGGGAAACCGGAAUUAAUACCGGAUACGACCCUGACUGACAUCGGUCAGGGUGGAAAGGAU
rnacentral:rRNA from 1 species